rnacentral:lncRNA from 1 species
UUCACCCAGCUCAGUCUGUUGAACACUCGCAUUGAUUUAUCCCAGCCGGCAAGCCCCCACCUUCCCUGCAAAAGACUAUGAAGACUAAAGCUCCUUUCUCUCAUUGCAUCGGAGAGCUUUAUCUCUAUGUGCUGCCCUUUAGGUACCUACGCCGUUACUUUUGGUAAGCAUCUAAAAAUUGAGAACGCAACGGUGACAUGAUUCAGGCAUGUGUCAUGUAAGGUUAGGUGAUCUAUAAUGUGGUGCUAUACGUUGGUACAGUGGUACACUUAAGGAGAUCGCCUUCACACAAGUGAAUCUAGCAACUUUUGCUCUGGGAGCCUAGUUCAAACAAAGUCUUGGCAUCAUCUGCCCACUGUUUUCUUUAUGCUUGUUCGCUAAUCCUAAGCGCAGUGCUUACACACAGUAGCUGGGGGUAAUUGGAAAUGUGGUUUUUAAAAAGGAGACUGAUAAUCAAUUAAUCACGGCUACUUUGUGAUGUGAGGUGAUGGGCUUUCUAUUGUCAUAAUGCAAAUGAUCCCAACUGCCCCCGUUGAAAAAGAUUUAAGACGAAAUAGAGCAGUCAGCUUGAUGGUGGGUCUUUUGGCCUAGUCUGAGACUAGAUGAAGAGACAAAAUGAGCCUAUAAGAAAUAGAGGGGAGCUUACUAUGUAGCAGUUGGCAAAUAUGAGGUGCCCAGCAUAGAAUGCUUCACCAAGGAAGUAUUUCUUUCCAGGUCCAAUCUACUGGAUUGUUCUAUUAUACAUGGAUGAGCUUUGCACCAGCUUUUGUGCUCAUCAUUAGAUUCCAGUUGCACUUCAAAGUGCAAAAUGAAGAGGUAUUCCUGGUUAUGCUUAAUAUUAGCUUAGAUAUUUAUAUUGGUACAAAUGGGAGAGUCCUUAAAUGCUGUCCUGGAACAGCCGUGAACAUUAUCCUACAUACAUUAUAUAUUGUUUAUAUGACCAAACACAGUGCAUGUAUCUAAUUUUGGUCUGUCAAACGGUCAAACCCCUCAUAGCUUAUAACAACUGUGAUAUAAUAUACACACACUAUUUUUUAGCUGGCCUAUGAAUCUGUCGUUGGAUGAUCUAAAAUGGGACCUUGAUUGUGUGCAAAGUUUAUGCUUCAUGUUUCAUAUUCUGAAUUCAUUCCUUUUUACCUGUUUUUCAGACCUUCCUUUUACCUGUACUAUCUACUAUUGCCUCCAUGCUUUGUUCGACACUUCCACUUACUUAAUGUUUUUCCUCUUAUGCUAGAAGAGUGAAGAGCCGAUUUGUAAACUUGGACUGUGAAGUUGAAACCUAUUCGAUUCCAGAAAACCUCAACCAUGCAGCAUCUUAUACUUGCAGCCUUGUCUGCUGCUGUUCUUUCUGCAUGCCUCCUGCAUGCGGAAAGUGCUGAUCUGAACUCUGACAAGCAGGCUCUUCUUGCAUUUGCUGCAUCACUGCCCCAUGGCAGGAAGCUCAACUGGAGCUCCACAACACCUCUCUGCACUUCUUGGGUGGGAGUGACAUGCACACCGGACAACAGUCGUGUACACACAUUACGCCUACCUGCAGUAGGGCUCUUUGGCCCCAUACCCUCGGAUACGCUUAGCAAGCUUGAUGCCCUGGAGGUAUUGAGCCUCAGGUCCAAUCGCCUUACUGUUGACCUCCCUCCUGAUGUGGGAUCUAUUCCUUCUCUUCAUUCCCUCUUUCUUCAGCAUAAUAACCUGUCUGGAAUUAUACCAACUUCCCUUUCUUCCAGUUUAACAUUUCUAGAUUUGUCCUACAACACUUUCGAUGGAGAAAUCCCAUUGAGAGUGCAAAAUCUCACUGGACUUACUGCAAUUCUUCUCCAGAACAACUCUCUUUCUGGGCCUAUCCCUGACCUCCAACUGCCCAAAUUGAGGCAUUUGAAUGUGAGCAACAACAACCUCAGUGGUCCAAUACCACCUUCCCUGCAGAAAUUCCCAGCCAGUUCCUUCUUGGGGAAUGCUUUUCUAUGUGGGUUUCCAUUGGAAUCAUGUCCUGGAACCGCACCUUCUCCUUCCCCAACAUCACCAUCACCAAUGCCUAGCAAGACCAAAAAGAGCUUCUGGAGAAGGAUUAGAACUGGUGUUCUAAUUGCUGUUGCUGCUGCAGCAGGGGUGUUGUUGCUCAUUUUGAUUAUCGUACUCUUGGUGUGUAUUUUCAAGAGAAAGAAACACACAGAACCUACCACAACUUCGUCGUCCAAAGGAAAAGCUAUUGCAGGUGGAAGGGUAGAAAACCCUAAGGAAGACUAUAGCAGUAGUGUUCAGGAAGCAGAGAGGAACAAACUGGUGUUCUUUGAGGGUUCUUCAUAUAAUUUUGACCUGGAGGAUUUGCUGAGAGCUUCAGCUGAAGUGCUUGGAAAAGGAAGUUAUGGGACUACCUACAAGGCUGUUCUUGAGGAUGGCACCGUAGUUGUGGUCAAGAGGUUAAAGGAGGUGGUGGUAGGGAAGAAAGACUUUGAACAGCAGAUGGAGAUAGUUGGCAGGAUUGGCCAGCACCAAAAUGUUGUUCCAUUGCGUGCUUAUUAUUACUCCAAGGAUGAAAAGUUACUGGUGUAUGACUAUGUCCCAUCUGGUAGCCUUGCCGCUGUUUUGCAUGGUAUGUUCUCUUUUGUCUCUUAUGAACUUCUAACCUAUUCAACACAUUCCUCGGUUCAAGCUAAGUAAUGGCUAAGUAAGACUCAAGUCACUUGACUAAUGGGCACUGGUAGGCUAUAGCACAUUCAACCUUUAGCUAGAUUCAGUCUGACAGUUAUAUAACGAACUAGAAUGCUGCAAGUGAGGGUGGCACACUACUAAUUACCAUGCCAAAUCCUUGUUUUAUGUCAUUUUCUCUGAAAGUUUAAUUCAUCUCAUUUCUGUGGUUACUCUUAGAUGAAUCCUUCGAUUUCUAUCAAUGAAGGAGUAGCAAUGAAUCCUCUUUCUAUAUGAAUUUAUUUACCCUUUAACAUUGCCAAGCUUCUUGUACUUCUUAAUGAAAAUGACACGCCCCCAGCGUGUUCAAGAAAAAAUCACUUUCAUGCUCUUCAACAGUUCCAUAAUUGGGUUACGUGGCACAAUUUGAUGUGAACUUAAAUCUUUGUUAGUUGACACAAAUUCAUUAAUCUUUCUGACAUUCUAGUGUUUAGACUUCUGCGCUGAAGUCAGAGAGGUACAUAAUUUCCAUUUAUGUGUCCAUGUUCGUGCCAAAUAAUUGCUCCUUUUCUUCGUUUGUUAACUUAUGUUGAGCUGCUGCCUUUUCUUGUAUAAUCACGGAUACACCAAUACUUUCUGGCUUAGAUCAGAUAGAGGGAAGCAUGGGAACUUCCUUUUGUUCCUCGUAGCAAUCCUUUCUUUUUCUUCUGAAUCUUUGGUUGUAGAAAUUAUUACUGUACACUGUAGCAUUGAACUAUUAAACAGCCUUCUUUGACCUGCACUAGCUUUAGCUUAUUUUAGAGGCACUUGAGUGUCCAUGGUGUCCGUUGACUUAUCAAAUGACAUGGUUAUAAAUAUACUUUCAGGGAAUAAAACUACGGGAAGAGCUCCAUUGGACUGGGAGACCAGAGUAAAGAUAUCUCUUGGUGUGGCUCGUGGAAUCGCUCAUCUUCAUGCUGAGGGAAGCGGGAAGUUCACCCAUGGCAAUCUCAAAUCAUCGAACAUCCUUCUGUCGCAGAACCUCGACGGUUGUGCCUCUGAGUUUGGCCUGGCACAGCUCAUGAGCAAUGUACCUGCUCCUGCGCGGCUUAUCGGAUAUCGUGCUCCAGAAGUCAUGGAGACGAAGAAGCCAACCCAGAAGUCUGAUGUCUACAGCUUCGGUGUGCUACUCCUUGAAAUGCUAACUGGGAAAGCCCCUCUCAGGUCUCCGGGACGCGAUGAUUCCGUCGGCGACCUUCCGAGAUGGGUGCAGUCCGUGGUCCGAGAAGAGUGGACGGCAGAGGUCUUCGACGUGGACUUGUUAAGGCAUCCAAACAUCGAAGACGAGAUGGUCCAGCUGCUCCAGGUCGCGAUGGCGUGUGUCGCCAUCCCCCCUGAGCAGCGGCCUAAAAUGGAGGAGGUGGUCGGGAGGAUCACCGAGAUCCGGAACUCCUACUCGGGGGCGAUGACGCCGCCGGAGGAGACAACCCUGGCGCCGCCAUAAGGGCACAAAGAUAUAACCCCUUGUAUUCAGCAGAUGUAGCUAUAGCUAGGUCGCUUAGUUACAUGCUUAUAGAUAAUAGCCUCAGCAAAGUUGAUAGCCGCUUGCUUUUACCUGUUGAUCUCUGAUGAUUCUUUGUUCCAAGUAACUUUUGCUGUGCCAUUUUGGCAGUAGCGAACUAGUGAUCGGGAUGAUGGCCCUUGCCGUCGUUCUCUUUUCGGUUAAACCGGUAGGUCUUGUGAUCUGGUCUUCACAGCGUUCGUGCUCUUCUGUAAUUCGGCAUUGUUUUUCCCGAGUGUGAUUGAGAUUCAUCCAACUUAACUUCCCUUCUGUUUGUCCACCCAUCGCCAGGCAUUUUACCUUGCCAUUUUCUCCGUCCAUCAAACGUGAAUUCGUCGGUCGCGCCAAAGGAACCCGUUGCCUUCGUUUUUGCUAUACACAACUACUCAAAUCAUAAUGAUUUCGCAGUCAUCCUUUGUGUUGCGUAUCGAUCUUGGAAGUAAUCUAUCAUUACUGUGUUCCGUCGUUUACCAACUCUACCAUAUGCAGAUAAAGAAUUUUUUUCAUAUUCUCUCAUCUUAAACAUCUUUUACUCAAAAUAAUCAAAUGACGCCUUAGCCUUUCUCUUCUUCACUCCUCUUCAUUUAUGAACAUCCAAGUUCUUUUGAUUAGUUCCUUACAAACAAGGACCUCUGAUUAGUAUACUCGCCUCGAUGGUGAUUGGGGUGGAGGACAGCGUCGCCAGCACCAGAAGCUGUUGGAGAGCAGCCGCGCCUUGUUCGACCCCAUCCUCGCCGCCGCCUGAGGAUGGUGAUGCUUCUUCUUCUUCCGCUGCUGCCCCGCGGGGGAGAUCAGUCGUGCAUGUGUGCGUGCCGAGGGGAGAGAUGGUGGCCACGGAACACAGCAUUCAGAUCCUACCAGGGCCCAGGCUACCACAACCAUGUCCUUCCUGGAUC